CACGUCAUCCCCACCUUCCUCCGGUUUGUCACCGGCAGUCUCUCUAGAGUGCCCUUUCGUAGCAACUAAAGACAAGGGUUGCGCUCGUUGCGGGACUUAACCCAACAUCUCACGACACGAGCUGACGACAGCCAUGCAGCACCUGUGCGACGGUUCUCUUUCGAGCACUUGCACCUCUCAGCGCAAUUCCGUCCAUGUCAAGGGUAGGUAAGGUUUUUCGCGUUGCAUCGAAUUAAUCCACAUCAUCCACCGCUUGUGCGGGUCCCCGUCAAUUCCUUUGAGUUUUAAUCUUGCGACCGUACUCCCCAGGCGGUCAACUUCACGCGUUAGCUACGUUACUAAGGAAAUGAAUCCCCAACAACUAGUUGACAUCGUUUAGGGCGUGGACUACCAGGGUAUC
rnacentral:misc_RNA from 1 species